rnacentral:rRNA from 1 species
UACGUAGGGGGCAAGCGUUGUCCGGAAUCAUUGGGCGUAAAGCGCGUGUAGGCGGCUUGGUAAGUCCGGUGUGAAACCCUGGGGCUCAACCCCAGGCCUGCAUCGGAUACUGCCUCGCUCGAGUUCGGGAGGGGAGAGCGGAAUUCCUAGUGUAGCGGUGAAAUGCGCAGAUAUUAGGAAGAACACCGGUGGCGAAGGCGGCUCUCUGGAACGAUACUGACGCUGAGACGCGAAAGCGUGGGUAG